GCGUAACAGCUCACUAGUCGAGCGGUUCGGCAUGGAUAAUAAUCGGGCAUAAACAUAUUACCGAAGCUAUGGACUUGAAAAAGUGGUAGGGGAGCAUUGUAGUGUCGUCGAAGGUGUACUGCGAGGUAUGCUGGAGAAGCUACAAAAGAAAAUGUAGGCAUAAGUAACGAUAAUGCGGGCGAGAAACCCGCACACCGAAAGACUAAGGUUUCCUCAGCUAUGCUAAUCAGCUGAGGGUUAGUCGGGACCUAACGCGAACCCGAAAGGGGUAGUGGAUGGACAACAGAUUAAUAUUUCUGUACCUGCUCACACUAAAAGUGACGGAGGCGAAAAGUUAGUGCGUACUGACGGAAUAGUACGUUGAAGCGAGUGGUAACACCGCGAUAGUACACUGAGACUACGGUCAAGGUGAUAAUCUAGCAAAUCGACUUCCAAGAAAAGCGAGUGAAGCAGCCCGUACCCUAAACCGACACAGGUAGUUGGGAUGAGAAUUCUAAGGUGCUCGAGAGAUUCAUGGCUAAGGAACUAGGCA
rnacentral:rRNA from 1 species